CAGUCGCCACGGUAAUACGUAGGUGGCAAGCGUUGUCCGGAAUUAUUGGGCGUAAAGGGCUCGCAGGCGGUUUCUUAAGUCUGACGUGAAAGCCCCCGGCUCAACCGGGGAGGGUCAUUGGAAACUGGGAAACUUGAGUGCAGAAGAGGAGAGUGGAAUUCCACGUGUAGCGGUGAAAUUCGUAGAGAUGUGGAGGAACACCAGUGGCGAAGGCGACUCUCUGGUCUGUAACUGACGCUGAGGAGCGAAAGCGUGGGGAGCGAACAGGAUUAGAUACCCCCGUAGUCCCUGUCUCUUAUAC
rnacentral:rRNA from 1 species